rnacentral:rRNA from 1 species
CCUACGGGGGGCAGCAGUGAGGAAUAUUGGUCAAUGGCCGUAAGGCUGAACCAGCCAAGUAGCGUGAGGGAAGACUGUCCUAUGGGUUGUAAACCUCUUUUAUGCGGGGAUAAAGGCGUCUACGUGUGGCUGUUUGCAGGUACCGCAUGAAUAAGGACCGGCUAAUUCCGUGCCAGCAGCCGCGGUAAUACGGAAGGUCCGGGCGUUAUCCGGAUUUAUUGGGUUUAAAGGGUGCGUAGGCCGGUCUUUAAGCUUGCCGUGAAAUCUUGUGGCUCAACCAUGGGAGUGCGGCGCGAACUGGAGGCCUUGAGUGCGCGGAAGGCAGGCGGAAUUCGUGGUGUAGCGGUGAAAUGCUUAGAUAUCACGAAGAACCCCGAUUGCGAAGGCAGCCUGCCGCAGCGUUACUGACGCUGAGGCUCGAAAGCGCGGGUAUCGAACAGGAUUAGAUACCCUGGUAGUC